UAGGGAAUCUUCCGCAAUGGACGAAAGUCUGACGGAGCAACGCCGCGUGAGUGAUGAAGGCUUUCGGGUCGUAAAACUCUGUUGUUAGGGAAGAACAAGUGCUAGUUGAAUAAGCUGGCACCUUGACGGUACCUAACCAGAAAGCCACGGCUAACUACGUGCCAGCAGCCGCGGUAGUACGGAGGGUGCGAGCGUUAUCCGGAUUUACUGGGUUUAAAGGGUGCGUAGGUGGGCUUAUAAGUCAGUGGUGAAAUCUCCGAGCUUAACUUGGAAACUGCCGGUGAUACUAUAGGUCUUGAAUUAUCUGGAGGUAAGCGGAAUAUGUCAUGUAGCGGUGAAAUGCUUAGAUAUGACAUAGAACACCAAUUGCGAAGGCAGCUUACUACAUAUAAAUUGACGCUGAGGCACGAAAGCGUGGGGAUCAAACA
rnacentral:rRNA from 1 species